CCUGGCUUUUAAUAUUAAUGUGCUGAACGGUGUGGUAUUAAUGUUUGAACAUUUUCAUCAAUUUAUUAUGGGUUUAAAAAAUCCACCCCUACUCUGUGUUCCUUGUACGAUUGCAGGUAUACGAUUCCUCUGGGAUCUUUGAAUGAUGAAUGAUUUUCUUUCAGUAUUAUUCUCUGCUUCUGUCCUUAAGGGAAUAUACCAUAUAUGAGUAUGUCAUUAUCACAGAGAAUGCAUGUUUCCCUUUAAGGAUAUGGCGGUAGAGUUACUAGGCAGAUUUUGUAACAGGGCUCUAUCAGACCCCAAUGCUGCCAUCUAGUGUUUAGGCUGAUGUAGUACAUUUGUUUACAUUUAAUGCAUGCUAAUUCUACAAACAAAAUUACUUAAUUAUUCAAACUAGAUGCGUGUACUAAUAGUCUCCUCCUCUCUCGCUCCCCCUCUUACUUUCUCUCACCUUUUCUUUCUUUAUCUUGCUCUCUCUUUCUGACUGUAUUCUGCAGGAUCAUUCUUCUCAUCCUGUCUUCCUGUUACCUAGCCUUCCGUGUGUGUAGCCUUGAGCAGCAACUGUCGUUCCUCAACCACAACCCAGCCCUGACCCUGAGGGAAAGAUAACUCAGGGCUUGAGUCUACCACUGGAAGGAUGAGCCUACCUGCACAGGCCUCUCGCUGUCUUUGAUCACAUCGGAGACAAUGCGAAACAGGCCCUUUUAUUUAUUGAAAGUUUGAUGCAGUUUAGAACGGACCUAUCCUGAUGCCACUGUACUAAUUUGAUAAUUGUUUCAUGAAACAAGCUGGGAAGAAAAACAGGCCCCUAUGGAAACCAUUCUUCUGUAAUGUUCCAUUUUAUCCUCACACUGUUAUGCUGGAUUAGAUUGAACAGUAGUUUCUGCUCUUCUCAAACAUGCUCCAUGAUGAUAAAAAAAUGAUGGCUGCCUUUUAAAAUGUAUGUAAUUCUUCCAUUUCAGAACCCCUAGAGGUUCCAAGCAAUAAUAAUGUAAAAAAAAGAUACACAUAUAUAGAAACCAGCAAUCACGAACGGACUUCAGUGUGACUCGUCUUGUACUGAGACCGUUGAUGUUCCACAUAGUCCAGAACAGUGUGAAGGAAGGGGCAACAGAACGUUGGUCAACUCAUAGGAUACUGGUGCUUGCAUAGGAUGGUCAAUUAGAGAAAAUGGAAACGUAGAUCCUUCGGGGAUUAGUCCUCUGUGUUGGAGAGAAGAUAGUUGAGGAACCACUGGUAUGACAGAUGUGUUGUAGCGCUGUAGAGAAACAACUAAGUUCAGUCUUCACCGUGGUGAAAAUACAUCAUGUACAGCUGCAAGGCUGUAUUAAGAUAAAGGUAUUCCACCACCCAGUCUGGAUGAGGUGCAGAUAGUACAGCGGAGUACAUUUAUCAUAUAGACAUUUCAUAGAGCCAUAGCUGAGGUACAGCACUGGACUAAUCAGGGUUAAGAAUGGAAUAUAAUAUAAUAUCGCUAAAAAAUAUGUAUUUUUUUUAGAUGUAAUCUAGAAGUGAGCAGUUAUGUGGCUGCACAUAUCUUGAUGCUGUCCACCUCAGUGAGUUUGCACAGACAGGCUAGCUAUUAGACUUAGGGACAGGAGGUUUUAGCACCGUUCUUUUGUUCCUGGUAUAUGCCACGUUUAGUCCUGCCUGUCCUUAUAAUUUAUUUAAAUUUCACUGUACAACCACACACCAUAUGUUUCAGAUGCCAAAAUAGAACCUCAACAUGUUGGCAUAUCAUGGACCCCAUAAAACAGCUUUUUUUCUCCUUUGUUUUGAAAGGCUUAAGUUGUAUAUAUUGUUUGUAUAUUAAAUAUGCAAUGUAAAGAUGUCACAGUAAAAUCUACUGUAUAUUUCAAAUUAACUAUUGAUGGAAACAUCCGAAGCCAUGGGAAAGUACCUGUUUUUUACAGCGUGCUUGUCUGUUGUGAAGAGUUCAGAGUCUUUGAAGGUGUAUGCGUGCUUGCACUGAAGUGAAUGUGGACUGCUCAGUUUCAAACAAGAAUAUUGCAAAUAUCAAGUGCUGGAACACAGACAUUUUAGAAAUUUCAGAGACAUUUGAAGUUGGAAGAUACAUUUGAACAUUUCAGACCUGUUUGCCUCAUAUUGAUGUCCCUGGUUGUUCUUGUAUCCCCUCGUCUCUCCUUUCCUUUGCACAAACAUAACACUUAACAAGAGCCUUGUAUGAACCAUGUCUCAUGUCAAGUAUUAAAUAAGCAGUUCUAAUGUAGACUGUUGUUUUUCCCCAAUUCACUUUCAAACACACUUGUAACAUUUCAGUUGUACUAGUUGUUUGAUUAAAUGUUCAUUAAAUGUUCAGUUACUGACACAUUAUCUAAUAAAAGCCAUUUGAUCCAGAGAUGUCUGGAAAAACCAGUGUCAGAACUAUGAAGAACAUCCAGUGCUGCCUAAUAUGUUUAACUAGAGCCUGUCGACAGGAUUAGUGUUACACUAUCAACAAAAUUCAUAGUUGGCUGAUUUAAGAAACAGCAUUUGGUUUCCACUCGUUAAUCAAAUGAGCUGCUUCUGUGUGGGCUAUGCUUGUGUACGUGCGUGCAUCUGCGCUCGUGUAUGUGGGGGAGAGCUUUGGCUUUGUCUUUGUCUUUGUCUCUGUCUCUACUGUACCGUUGUGUAUUAAUACAGACUGCCCAGAGAUGGUGGGAGAGCGGCAGUACAGUGCAUGUGAAGGCAAAGAGCCUGGGGCUACAAAGCUCUGAAUGGGUUCCAUAUGCACGGUGAUCUGCUUAUCACUCAUUUAUGACAGGUUUGCAGUACCACUGUGCAACAUACCACAUUUUACAAGCACACACAGAGAAUGAAAGGGAGAGAGAGAGAGAGAGAUAAUGAAAGGGAGAGAGACAAAACACCACAAAACCAGCAGCAGCACGGUUCUCUGAUAAGCACCACUUCAGCUCUUAAUGUCAAACCCGGGCACCGACACUUUCUCCCCACUGCAUAGCCUCGCCUUUCCCUUGUGUAGAGAGGUUUUGUAAUGUCUUUUAAGGUAAAUUAAUAAUUCAUGGCUAACCCUAGAGUAACACUUAAGGGCCGCUUGGCUGACAGCUGAGGGAAAUAUUGUGUUUCCCCGGCACAAGGGUAUUUAAAUAUAUCUGCAUGUUUUCAUGAUGACUAGAGAGCCUUUGUGGCUCAGCAAAGAAAUUGGAAGCUGUGAUCAUACGGUCUUAUCUAAAAUGAUUUACAAUUCUAACUUCAAAUCCAUCUCACUGCUCUGAAUAUUUCAGUGACACAAUGGUAAAGACUCUUCUCAAUAUAUUGGCUAUAUUUGAAUGUGGAAAAUAGUA